rnacentral:rRNA from 1 species
AUUGAACGCUGGCGGCAUGCCUUACACAUGCAAGUCGAACGGCAGCACGGGAGCAAUCCUGGUGGCGAGUGGCGAACGGGUGAGUAAUGUAUCGGAACGUACCUUUCAGUGGGGGAUAACGUAGCGAAGUUACGCUAAUACCGCAUAUUCUGUGAGCAGGAAAGCAGGGGAUCGCAAGACCUUGCGCUGAUUGAGCGGCCGAUAUCAGAUUAGCUAGUUGGUGAGGUAAAGGCUCACCAAGGCGACGAUCUGUAGCGGGUCUGAGAGGAUGAUCCGCCACACUGGAACUGAGACACGGUCCAGACUCCUACGGGAGGCAGCAGUGGGGAAUUUUGGACAAUGGGCGCAAGCCUGAUCCAGCCAUGCCGCGUGAGUGAAGAAGGCCU